CCCCGGUACCCCCGCACCCCCGGCACCCAGAGUGCCUCCCGCCCCCCCCGGAUCUCCGCUCCACAGCCCCCGGCACGGACCCGAGCGCGGCCACGGGCACGGAGACAGAGAUGGAGACAAGAGCACGGCCACGGGUGUGGGCACAAACCGGGGCUCAGACACGGCCCCUGCUCCCCGUUCACCGUCCCCUGGCAGCGGCUGCUCCCGGGGCCGGGAUUCCCGGCGCCAGCGCCAGACCAGGCCCCCGUGAAGAGGAUCCCGGUGCUCCUGGUGCCGCCCGCCCCUCGGCCCCGCUGGCCGGGGAUCCCGGGAUAACGGGGCCAGCUCCGCCGGGCUGGGGACCAGGGACCGAGCUCCCGGUGCCUCCCCCCGCCCCAUCGUGGCUCCCACCUGGAAAACGUCGUUGGCGCACUUGCGGCAGAGGUUGUGCUGGCAGGGCAGGAUGACCACGGGCUUGGAGAACAUCUCCAGGCAGAUGGGGCAGAUGAGCUGCUUCUCCAGGCUCUCCAUGCUCCGCGCCUCCGCCAGAAGCGGCUUCAGCCCCACGGCGAAGUUCAUGGCCGCGGUCCCGGCCCGGCCCGGCCCGGCUCUGUCCCGCCGCUCCGCUCCGGCCGCCCGCUGCCCGCUUUGUUUCGGCCCCGGCCCCGGCCCCCGGCGCUAAUUUUAGCCGCCCCCGCCCCGCCGGGGCCGCAGCUGUCGGCGGCGUCGGGUGACACUGAGUCACCGCUCCUGCCCUCCCUCGGGACCGGCCGGGCCCGGCACCGGACACCGGCUGCGUUCUGGACCCGCGGAUCCCCGCCCGGGAGGAGCGGCCGGGGUUCGGGGGAGCAGGGCCGGCUCGUGCAGGGGCUGCAGGGCCGGUGCAGGGGCUGCAGGGCUGGCAGUCACGCUGAGGACAAUGUGCCCCGCUGUGCAGGCAGCAGGGCUGCGCGAGGCUGGGGUCCCGCUGAUCCCACCGUGCCAGCCCCCCUGAAGGGCAGAGCAGAGGGGCUGGUGCCAGGACACUCCAUCCCCACUCGCCCUGGCACCCUGGCUAUAUUUAGGGAGUGAGGCAGAGCCCAUGCAGCCGCGGGCAGAGGCAGUGACCGACCAGAGAUGGGAAGAACGAGCAAGCGGCUCCCCGCGUCCCUCAGUGCCACCCCUUGGUGCCGGCCCUCUGCAGGGAGCUCCACAGGGAGCAGGG
rnacentral:lncRNA from 1 species